GUGGCAUCGGGGAAACCUGCCGCAGCGAGCACGUCUGCGCCACCCAUGUGAUGCGCAAAGUGUCCGCGCGACUGGAGCGUAUCCCACCCGGCCUUCACACUGCGCGCUGGUGUGGGGGAGCCUGCACCCCCCGAGGUGGAUGCGCCGCGGUUUGGCAAGCGAAAUGGGAGAGGCUUUGGGGCAACCUACGGGGCGGGGGGAUGGGCUGAGUAUGAGUCAGGGGCGAUGCUCUCCGAUGACUGGGUCGGUGCGUUGCUCUACCGCGUGUGUGCCCGCGGCUGCUUCGCACUACGUGGAUGGGGUCUGAGGUGCGGGGGGAGGCGGGCAGAGCGGCGCUUGGCCUGAAGUUGCGUGCCAGAGAAGGGGUGAGCUGCAAAAAUGUUUUUCUUGCGAACUGCGGCUGCUUCAGGUACUGACGCCUGGCAGAGAGGUGGAUGCUUUGCUUGGCGAUGUAGGCCUCGGCUGGUAGAGGAUGGAUUCAAGCGUCUGUGCGGCUGUCAUCUUUUUGGAAAUCAGCGGCGUGUUACUCUUUGCUGAGUAUCCACUUGCCCGGUGUGGUGCAUACGUUGCGAUUUUCCUUUCCACAUAAUUAUACUGAAGAGAUCGCAGCGAUGUUUGCAGCCAUAGAGAGAAAUUAAGACAGUUGUGGAGUUUGUGUUGCAAGUCGCGCGCGUGGCGAGUUCCUUUUUUUUUUGUCCAGCUGUGAAAUUCUGUUCUCGUUCAGGUUUCUUGGUGUUCGACUUUCAAAUGUCUGUAGGACAGUCAAGUUCUUUAAUACACAGACUUGUUUCUUCGUUGUUGCAACGGGCAAGCCUUUUUUUUUCAAUCUACCAUUUGCCGACCUUUGGUGACCUUCGGUCAGCGUUUUCCUAGCACAUUC
rnacentral:misc_RNA from 1 species